rnacentral:lncRNA from 1 species
AGUGUCCAUGUUUACGUUUCGAGCUCGCAAGCUGUCACACACUUCCAAAGGCGAAACAAAUUCGGACAGUUCGUACGAGAUUUGCGCCUGUUGAAAUCUGCAUUUUGCCGCUGCGUUGCUGGCGCGUGUGGAUUGUCAGCAUCAAUUGGAGCCAUUCAACAUCUUAUGACAGCGUUAGUUCAUCCCCAAGGAACUCAGAUCCACUAUCAACACUGCCGUUGAAUGACUCCACUGUUUUGCACACGACACUUACCUGGUUGACAGCCA